rnacentral:rRNA from 1 species
UACGUAGGGGGCAAGCGUUGUCCGGAAUUAUUGGGCGUAAAGAGCGCGUAGGCGGUCCGAUAAGUCGGCUGUGAAAGUCAGGGGCUCAACCCUUGAAAGCCGGCCGAUACUGUCGGACUAGAGUCCGGAAGAGGCGAGUGGAAUUCCCGGUGUAGCGGUGAAAUGCGCAGAUAUCGGGAGGAACACCAAUGGCGAAGGCAGCACUCUGGGACGGUACUGACGCUGAGACGCGAAAGCGUGGGGAGCGAACAGG